rnacentral:miRNA from 1 species
AGUAGAGACGGGGUUUCUCCAUGUUGGUCAGGCUGGUCUCAAACUCCUGACCUCAGGUGAUCCACCCACC